UGGGGAAUAUUGCACAAUGGGCGCAAGCCUGAUCCAGCCAUGCCGCGUGUAUGAAGAAGGCCUUCGGGUUGUAAAGUACUUUCAGCGGGGAGGAAGGGAGUAAAGUUAAUACCUUUGCUCAUUGACGUUACCCGCAGAAGAAGCACCGGCUAACUCCGUGCCAGCAGCCGCGGUAAUACGGAGGGUGCAAGCGUUAAUCGGAAUUACUGGGCGUAAAGCGCACGCAGGCGGUUUGUUAAGUCAGAUGUGAAAUCCCCGGGCUCAACCUGGGAACUGCAUCUGAUACUGGCAAGCUUGAGUCUCGUAGAGGGGGGUAGAAUUCCAGGUGUAGCGGUGAAAUGCGUAGAGAUCUGGAGGAAUACCGGUGGCGAAGGCGGCCCCCUGGACGAAGACUGACGCUCAGGUGCGAAAGCGUGGGGAGCAAACAGG
rnacentral:rRNA from 1 species